rnacentral:rRNA from 1 species
GAUGAACGCUGGCGGCGUGCUUAACACAUGCAAGUCGAACGAACCUUCGGGUUAGUGGCGGACGGGUGAGUAACGCGUGGGAAUCUGCCCUCAGGAGGGGGAUAACGGCUGGAAACGGCCGCUAAUACCCCCUAUGCCGAGAGGUGAAAUGAAUUUCGCCUGAGGAUGAGCCCGCGUCUGAUUAGCUAGUUGGUGAGGUAAGAGCUCACCAAGGCAUCGAUCAGUAGCUGGUCUGAGAGGAUGAUCAGCCACACUGGGACUGAGACACGGCCCAGACUCCUACGGGAGGCAGCAGUGGGGAAUUUUCCGCAAUGGGCGAAAGCCUGACGGAGCAACGCCGCGUGAGGGAUGAAGGCCUCUGGGCUGUAAACCUCUUUUCUCAAGGAAGAAGAUCUGACGGUACUUGAGGAAUAAAGCCACGGCUAAUUCCGUGCCAGCAGCCGCUGUAAU